rnacentral:lncRNA from 1 species
GCUUCCUCUAAAUGUGUAUUUUCUCAUCAGCCUAAGAAUAACCAUUUUUCAAAAAUGAUUUCUCCCCUCUCUUGUCUUGCCUCCCUCUCUUCUCUCUCAUGCCAAUAUAUUUUAUGGCCUUCCCUGCUGCCCCCAGCCAUGCUGCUCUCCUCUACUCAGCAAUUUCUCAGCUCCUGCUACAUGCUGUGAUGGCCUUUAUGCUGGAGAUGCAAAGAUGAAGAGCACAGAGCUCAGAGUCUGGAGAAGACACAAGACAAAGACAGAAAGAAGUCAUUAACGAUGGGGGUAGUUUGUUCUCUGUUUGGUGAAGUGCCGACAUCAGUGUGGAUAAAAUACUCACACGCCAGUUGGAUGGGAGCAGUGGACAUUCAUUACUGCACCUCCGGACAAGGACAAAGAGGAGGGCCGUCUGGGUACUAUGGGGACCCAGCCAAGUGUGCAGACCAGAGAGGGAAACAGUGACCACUGGAGGGAAGAUGGGAAGUGGCCCUCACCACAGACUCUGGUUCCUUUUCUCCUAUGGAACAAAAGGCCUGAACCGCUGGGGAAGGACAGCAAAGCUCUUGUCUGCAGACAAAGGUUGGCCCAAGACAUUCCCUAUCAAUACCAAGCACAUAUGUAAGCUGAAAUGAAAGCAAGGCCUCAGGUAAGCAUCCCGAAAAUGAACAAGGAUCAAGGGGAAUAAUGCACUGAGGUCCUGGGAACAGUGUCCUCAAGAUUCAGCUGUGCAUGGACUGGUCAGCAUCCAGAGUGACCAGAGCAGACCUUGGGUGUGCUGUGUCUUCACAAUGAGUCCUGGAGGAGCUGUCUGGUUCAGGUAAACUCUCAACAAGCAUAUAGAUGGGUUUCUUUAACUCUGAUAUUGU